CGCACACACACACACGGCCGGAGCGGUGGGCCAAGCCCUCUCCUACCGUCUGAGUCCCUGGAAGGAGGAGGGCCAGGACAUCCGCGAUUUCUUCAAGCCGGGCCGGUGUCCGGUCUCCACGGCGUAGGAAGCGCGGUCCAUGGCUCGGCAGUAGAGGUAUGCAAUGACAGCUCAGGUGGGAGGUACCAUUGUGCACACAACCACACGAGGUGCCUUUGAGCUGCUGUGUGCUCUCCUUCAAUGAUUCACCAUGUCUUUCCUGGCCAAGACAACUUGGAUGGAACUGGGCUAAAGGCUGGAUUCACCCACAGCUGCUGGAUGGAUCACCCUCUUGAAGUGAUUCCUAUCUUUCCCUUGGCUUUAUGUGCCUGUGACAGUUCAGUAGGUUUCUGGAUUGGUUUUGUAAGUUGCUGCUGCAGGGAUGCUUGAAAUGCAAAUCAGAAAAAGUCCAAGACAUCUUCAACAGUGAAGCUAAUCUAAAGUGACAACUUCCAAUGUGAAAAAUCCUUGUAAGAAAGACACUAUGUAUUCUUCUAAUUGGAUAAGCUUUCAGAUUUCUUUUGUCAUCUCUAAAUUGACAUUAGUGUGAAUGGUGUGUAUUAAAGGUAUGUAUUAAAAGAC